UAGGGAAUCUUCCACAAUGGACGAAAGUCUGAUGGAGCAGCGCCGCGUGAGUGAAGAAGGUUUUCGGAUCGUAAAGCUCUGUUGUUGGUGAAGAAGGAUAGAGGCAGUAACUGGUCUUUAUUUGACGGUAAUCAACCAGAAAGUCACGGCUAACUACGUGCCAG
rnacentral:rRNA from 1 species